UCGGUCCCCACAGCACACGACAGUGACUACAGAGGCCACAGAAGAUUCAGCAGUCAAGCCAGGAACGUGCUGCGGGCGGGAGAGGGGAUCUGGCAGGGGCAAGGGCACUGGCAGCCACUUUGGCAUGCGGAGGAAAAUCAUACACAGCACAGAAAAUCCCCGCUGUGCUCUGCCAAGACCCCGGCCCCCGAGGGCCAGGCAGGAAAUUGCCCAACCGUGCUGAGGGGCGUGGCGGUUAUCAUCGUGCAAAAGGAAACCGGCGGCAGACUGCAGAGUGGCACCUGAAGGGAGGCCUGCGAGCCGUCCAGCAGAGCCCAGCGGCCGCCUCACUGACCCGCGCAGCCUGGCAUCGCCUCCGCCGGCCGCUCUGGUCUCUGGUCCCUGCAGGGCAGCUCCAGCCACGGCCGGGCCACCACAGGACAUCCGCCCUGCCAGGGGGUUUCUGUUCAGGGAGAGAUUUUCCAGCCAGCGACGCAGGGGCCAGAGCAGAGGCCGGAGCAGCUGGUGGGGACUCUGCGGUGACUGUGGAUGCUCCUGCGAGGGGGUGGCGAGAACGCUGAGUGUGACCACAGUGUCCAUGGGAGCCGAAGGACCGAGGCAGCCCGGGGUCCAAAUGGGGAACCCACAGUGGUCCAUCUGUGCGAGGGAAUAUUACACAGCCAUGAAAAGGGACGCAGCCCGAGGCCCAGCGCCCACGGGCUCAGCUCUGCCGGCCCCCCUGCGCCCCGAGAGCCCGCCAUGCCCGGCGCGUGGCCCCUGGCCCUGCUGCUUCUGCUGCCGUCCGCGUGCUGCCCGCCGCCCCGCGCCCAGGAGCCCACCGCGCCCCUCAGGAACCUCAGGGUGGAGCCGGGCAGCAGGCGGCUGACCUGGGACCUGCAGGGGAACGCGUCCGGCAUCCAGUGCUUCCAGAGCAGCUACCCCUUGACUGACUCCGAGGAGGACGCGUCCUUCCAAGAGGUAAGUGCACGCGGGUGCCCGCUGGACAGUGACUCCAGCCUUCGGGACACGCGCUGCCCUGCAGGUAAAUUUGUCCGUCAUCCCAGCACUGAGGAGGCUGAGGCAGGAGGGUCCUCCAGGCCAUCGGGCUGCAAGCUCGCUCCCUGCAGACGGUGGCUGCUGGUCGGCCUCAGCUGACCUGAGCCCACACAGGGCCACUGCCCGGCCUGCAGCCCCGUGUGUGUCCCUCAGGCGGAGGACGACCAGUACUGUGAGUACCACACAAUGUCCUUCUGCACGGUGACCAACUACACGGUCAGGGUGACGCAGCCGCCGUUCUCAGCCUGGAUCCUCUUCCCGCAGCCAGCCCAGAUAGCAGCAUGGCGGCGGCGGCCACAGGCCUGAGGUGCAGGAUUCCC